GACGAACGCUGGCGGCGUGCUUAACACAUGCAAGUCGAACGCUGAAGCUUGGUGCUUGCACUGGGUGGAUGAGUGGCGAACGGGUGAGUAAUACGUGAGUAACCUGCCCUUGACUCUGGGAUAAGCCUGGGAAACUGGGUCUAAUACUGGAUAUGACAUGCCACUGCAUGGUGGUGUGUGGAAAGGGUUUUACUGGUUUUGGAUGGGCUCACGGCCUAUCAGCUUGUUGGUGGGGUAAUGGCCUACCAAGGCGACGACGGGUAGCCGGCCUGAGAGGGUGACCGGCCACACUGGGACUGAGAGACGGACCAGACUCCUACGGGAGGCAGCAGUGGGGAAUAUUGCACAAUGGGCGGAAGCCUGAUGCAGCGACGCCGCGUGAGGGAUGACGGCCUUCGGGUUGUAAACCUCUUUCAGAACGGAAGAAGCGAGAGUGACGGUACGUGCAGAAGAAGCGCCGGCUAACUACGUG
rnacentral:rRNA from 1 species